GAACGAACGCUGGCGGCGUGCCUAACACAUGCAAGUCGAGCGAUGAAGUUUCUUCGGGAACGGAUUAGCGGCGGACGGGUGAGUAACACGUGGGCAACCUGCCUUAUAGAGGGGAAUAGCCUUCCGAAAGGAAGAUUAAUACCGCAUAAGAUUGUAGCUUCGCAUGAAGUAGCAAUUAAAGGAGCAAUCCGCUAUAAGAUGGGCCCGCGGCGCAUUAGCUAGUUGGUGAGGUAACGGCUCACCAAGGCGACGAUGCGUAGCCGACCUGAGAGGGUGAUCGGCCACAUUGGGACUGAGACACGGCCCAGACUCCUACGGGAGGCAGCAGUGGGGAAUAUUGCACAAUGGGGGAAACCCUGAUGCAGCAACGCCGCGUGAGUGAUGACGGCCUUCGGGUUGUAAAGCUCUGUCUUUGGGGACGAUAAUGACGGUACCUGAGGAGGAAGCCACGGCUA
rnacentral:rRNA from 1 species